rnacentral:rRNA from 1 species
CUUCAACAAAAACGUCACAGAUUCCAUGCCAAAUAUUUAAUACCAAAAACGAUACAAACCCCUUUACCACCACCGGGCAAUUCUAUAACACUAUAGAAUCUACUAUGUUAAAACUAGUAACAAGAAGAGUAACCUUCUCUUAAAUGUAAGUAUAUAUCAGGAAGGACAGACCACUGAUUAUUAACAUGCAUGAAACCUAAGCAGCCACACCUCAAGAAAACCCUGCUCCACCACAUGUUAAUAUAACACUAUAACAUUACAAGAAAGAUAAAAAGAAAAAGAAGGAACUCGGCAAAUAUAAAUCUCGCCUGUUUACCAAAAACAUCGCCUCUUGUCACACAUAAGAGGUCCUGCCUGCCCAGUGACCCUGUUCAACGGCCGCGGUAUCCUAACCGUGCGAAGGUAGCGUAAUCACUUGUUCUUUAAAUGAGGACUAGUAUGAAUGGCGCCACGAAGAUUUUACUGUCUCCUUUUUCUUAUCAGUGAAACUAAUCUCCCCGUGAAGAAGCGGGGAUAAAAACAUAAGACGAGAAGACCCUAUGGAGCUUUAAACUAGUAACACCUGCUGCCACAAAGACCCUAAAAACAUUAAGCAAGCCACCCUGAUUACAAGUUUUAGGUUGGGGCGACCUAGGAGUAUAAAACAACCUCCAAAUAGUACGAACCUACAAUCCUGAGCAAAAAGCUUCAACUUUAUGCACCAAUAAAUUGACUUACAUUGACCCAAUAUUUUGAUCAACGAACCAAGUUACCCUAGGGAUAACAGCGCAAUCCACUUUAAGAGCUCAUAUCGACAAGUGGGAUUACGACCUCGAUGUUGGAUCAGGGUAUCCCAGUGGUGCAGCCGCUACUAAAGGUUUUGUUUUUUCAACAAUUAAAGGC